CCCCAUUUGUGGCUUCUUAGCUGCUUUAGGCUCACCUUUUGUUUUUUCCUUUAAAAUGCUCUUCUGUAAACUUGUCUAUUAUUUUUUUAUAUAUUGAUUCACAGUAGGAGCCACUGGCUCCUCCUGAUUCUUCAAAAAAAAGGUUAGAGGACAACCUUUGCUAGCGUGCACUCCUACUAUACAUGGUGUGUGAUUCUGUCUCUUCUUUUUUUUCGUCCUCGGUAACCACAUGUUCAUCUUCUCUGCCAAUAUUAUGCAAUAAGGACCUUCUUAAGCUAUUGUGUGGGUUUUUAACGUGC
rnacentral:lncRNA from 1 species